rnacentral:rRNA from 1 species
AGUAGUUUGAUCCUGGCUCAGGAUGAACGCUGGCGGCGUGCCUAAUACAUGCAAGUCGAGCGAGAAUCUGAUGAUUGGAGAUUCGUCAAAGAGAUUCAGAGGAAAGCGGCGGACGGGUGAGUAACGCGUAGGCAACCUGCCCUUAGCAGAGGGAUAGCCAUUGGAAACGAUGAUUAAAACCUCAUAAUGCUGUUGAAACACAUGUUUCGGCAGCCAAAGAUUUAUCGGCUAAGGAUGGGCCUGCGUCUGAUUAACUAGUUGGUGGGGUAACGGCUCACCAAGGUGACGAUCAGUAGCCGACCUGAGAGGGUGAUCGGCCACAUUGGAACUGAGACACGGUCCAAACUUC